rnacentral:rRNA from 1 species
AGAUUGAACGCUGGCGGCAGGCCUAACACAUGCAAGUCGAGCGGCAGCACGGGUACUUGUACCUGGUGGCGAGCGGCGGACGGGUGAGUAAUGCCUAGGAAUCUGCCUGGUAGUGGGGGAUAACGCUCGGAAACGGACGCUAAUACCGCAUACGUCCUACGGGAGAAAGCAGGGGACCUUCGGGCCUUGCGCUAUCAGAUGAGCCUAGGUCGGAUUAGCUAGUUGGUGAGGUAAUGGCUCACCAAGGCGACGAUCCGUAACUGGUCUGAGAGGAUGAUCAGUCACACUGGAACUGAGACACGGUCCAGACUCCUACGGGAGGCAGCAGUGGGGAAUAUUGGACAAGUGGGCGAAAGCCUGAUCCAGCCAUGCCGCGUGUGUGAAGAAGGUCUUCGGAUUGUAAAGCAACUUUAAGUUGGAGAAGGCAGUUACCUAAUACGUAUCUGUUUGACGUUACGACAGAAUAAGCACGGCUAACUCUGUG